rnacentral:rRNA from 1 species
GACAGAGGUGCCAAGCGUUAGGCGGAAUCACUGGGCUUAAAGCGUGUGUAGGCGGAUCGUUAAGUACCUUGUGAAAUCCCACGGCUCAACCGUGGAACUGCUCGGUAUACUGGCGGUCUUGAGCCACCUAGGGGCAACUGGAACAAGCGGUGGAGCGGUGAAAUGCGCAGAUAUCGGGAGGAACACCGGUGGCGAAGGCGGUUCUCUGGGCCUUACCUGACGCUGAGGAGCGAAAGCGUGGGGAGCGAACAGG